ensembl:lncRNA
UGAGGCGGCGGCGGCGGCAGUCCUGGAGGCGGCGGCGGCAGUCCUGGAGGCGGCGGCGGCGGCAGUCCUGGCGGCGGCGGCGGCAGUCCUGGCGGCGGCGGCGGCUCCUCGUACAGUAAAGUUAAACUCUUCGUCAGUGUAUCAUGAACGGGGAGGAUUGUCCGGUGUGCAAAUGGAAAGUGUGUUUCACCUUUUAGAAGAAAUGAGGUGAUGCGGCGGCGGCGUCCUGGAGGCGGCGGCGGGCGUCCUGGAGGAGGCGGCGGUGGCGGGUGUCCUGGAGGCGGCGGCUCCUCGUACAGUAAAGUUAAACUCUUCUUCAGUGUAUCAUGAACGGGGAGGUUUUUCCGGUGUGCAAAUGGAAAGUGUUUCACCUUUUAGAAGAAAUGAGGUGACGCGCGGCGGCGGUCCCCCCUGAGGCGGCCCCCUGGAGGCGGGCGAGCGUCCU